rnacentral:rRNA from 1 species
UUUAUGGAGAGUUUGAUCCUGGCUCAGGAUGAACGCUGGCGGCGUGCCUAAUACAUGCAAGUCGAGCGAACAGACGAGAAGCUUGCUUCUCUGAUGUUAGCGGCGGACGGGUGAGUAACACGUGGAUAACCUACCUAUAAGACUGGGAUAACUUCGGGAAACCGGAGCUAAUACCGGAUAAUAUUUUGAACCGCAUGGUUCAAAAGUGAAAGACGGUCUUGCUGUCACUUAUAGAUGGA